rnacentral:rRNA from 1 species
UGGGGAAUUUUGGACAAUGGGCGAAAGCCUGAUCCGGCCAUGCCGCGUGAGUGACGAAGGCCUUAGGGUUGUAAAACUCUUUCGUCGGGGACGAUAAUGACGGUACCCGAAGAAGAAGCUCCGGCUAACUUCGUGCCAGCAGCCGCGGUAAUACGAAGGGAGCUAGCGUUGUUCGGAAUCACUGGGCGUAAAGCGCACGUAGGCGGAUAGUUAAGUCAGGGGUGAAAUCCUGGGGCUCAACCCCAGAACUGCCUUUGAUACUGGCUGUCUCGAGGUCGAGAGAGGUUGGUGGAAUCCCUAGUGUAGAGGUGAAAUUCGUAGAUAUUAGGAAGAACACCAGUGGCGAAGGCGGCCAACUGGCUCGAUACUGACGCUGAGGUGCGAAAGCGUGGGGAGCAAACAGGAUUAGAUACCCCCGUAGUCCCUGAGCGGGCUGGCAAGGCGCAU